UGGACCACAGGGAUCAGGAAACUGCUC
rnacentral:piRNA from 1 species